UCAGGAUGAACGCUGGCGGCGUGCCUAAUACAUGCAAGUCGUGCGACUCUUCGAGAGGAGCGGCGGACGGCUGAGUAACGCGUGGGAACGUGCCCCAAAGUGAGGGAUAACUGCUCGAAAGGGUAGCUAAUAUCGCAUAUGAUCUUCGGAUUAAAGCAUUUAUGCGCUUUGGGAGCGGCCCGCGUCGGAUUAGCUUGUUGGUGAGGUAAAGGCUCACCAAGGCGACGAUCCGUAGCUGGUCUGAGAGGAUGAUCAGCCAGACUGGAACUGAGACACGGUCCAGACUCCUACGGGAGGCAGCAGUAAGGAAUCUUCCA
rnacentral:rRNA from 1 species